rnacentral:snoRNA from 1 species
CAGUCUUCUGCCUCGCUCGGCCAGUCCUCAUCCACCGGCUGGUCUUGAGCUGGAUACACAUUCAGCUGUAUUAGACCAGAGUAUCCCUCUCCAACGACCUUUGAGUGCGGAACCACCCCUCUUCUUACAUGGGUGGACCUUUUCGCAAUUUGUCUGUUGGGACAUCA